AAAACUUUCAACAACGGAUCUCUUGGCUCUGGCAUCGAUGAAGAACGCAGCGAAAUGCGAUAAGUAAUGUGAAUUGCAGAAUUCAGUGAAUCAUCGAAUCUUUGAACGCACAUUGCGCCCGCCAGUAUUCUGGCGGGCAUGCCUGUUCGAGCGUCAUUA
rnacentral:rRNA from 4 species